rnacentral:lncRNA from 1 species
CUCAAAAUCAAAUGAUCAAAUGUUAGCUGGGAAUGGUGGCUCACACCUGUAAUCCCAGUAGCUCAGGAAGCUGAAGCAGAAGGGUCACAAUUUCCAGGCCAGCCUCAGCAAUUUAGUGAGGCCCUGAGUUAGUGAGAGCCUGUCUCAAAAUGAAGCAGGAGGAUUGAAAGUUCAAAGCUAGCCUCAGCAAUUUAAAAAGGCCCUAAGCAAAUUAGUGAGACCCUGUCUCAAAAUAAAAAAUAAAAUGGGCUGGUAAAGUGCCCCUGGGUUCCAUCCCCAAUACAAAAACAAAAACAAAAAUCAAAUGUUAAAAGGGAUUGGGGAUGUAGCAUAUAGCUCAGUGGUAGAGCAUUUGCCUAGCAUGUCUGAAGUCCUGGUUUCAAUCUUCAGUACAGAAAAACAAAGUAUUGUAGGGACAGAUGAGGCAAGACACUGAAGAUAGCAGGAAAUAGUUUUAUUUGGCUGCAGCCAGGCUCAGAGGGCCACAGCUUUUGCUGUAAUCCAUCAAUCCCCUGAACUCCAAGUUCAGGUAGUUUCAGAAUUUUAUACCUAGAAUGUAAGGGGAGGGGCUCAGAAGUUCACAGUCUGCAGAAGUGCACAUAAAAGAAGCUUUUUCUUUCACUGUUCUGGGCAAGUUAACCCUUCAAGGACAGCACCUGAGAAGGGGAGAGCUUUUUCUCCCCUUUCUUUCCUCCCCCUGCCAGCUGUUACCAUGGAGCCCAACUGGUAACUUCUCUUAUCUUAGAAAUGUAGACAUUUCUGUGAACAUCUCAUGCUCAAGGCCAGAGGCGUUGUUUAUAUAUCUCUACAAUCUACUGUACUGGAUAAAUGUUUGUGAAAAACUUCUAAGGGGGUGUCUAGCACCUGGAGUGGCGGUUUCUUUAGGCUAGUGGUCAAAUAAAAUACGGCAACAUGAAAAUAGGAAGUUUAUCUACAUUGAACUCUUUUGUAGAGACUCUUUCACUGACAGUCCUAAAAUCAGCCAUGGUGAACAUUUCUGAAGAAGCCCAGUUAAGAUUUUUGUGGAGGAGGGGGUACCACUACAAAAAAGCAAGGUUACAAGGAGUCAGCUGACAUUAGUAUUAAAAGGUGAAAGCUA